AGCUUUGUGCAGUGGCAGUAUCGUAGCCAAUGAGGUUUAUCCGAGGCGCGAUUAUUGCUAAUUGAAAAAAAAAAAGUAAUAAGUAACAAACAGGAUUAGAAGUAAGCCUUUCUAAAUUCUGACCCCAUAUUUUAGUG
ensembl:snRNA U4 U4 spliceosomal RNA